AGAGUUUUUUCGAAGGCCAGGCGGCGCCGUGGGACUCUGCGAAAAAAGACGAGAACAGGAUGAAGAAUCGCUACGGCAACAUCAUCGCAUAUGACCACUCGCGUGUCAGACUGCAGCCUGUGGAGGGAGAGCAGAGCUCAGAUUACAUUAAUGCAAAUUAUGUUGAUGGGUACCAUCGUCCAAAUCAUUACAUCGCUACACAAGGU